UACGGAGGGGGCUAGCGUUGUUCGGAAUUACUGGGCGUAAAGCGCAUGUAGGCGGCUUUGUAAGUUAGAGGUGAAAGCCCAGGGCUUAACCCUGGAAUUGCCUUUAAGACUGCAUCGCUAGAAUUGUGGAGAGGUAAGUGGAAUUCCGAGUGUAGAGGUGAAAUUCGUAGAUAUUCGGAAGAACACCAGUGGCGAAGGCGACUUACUGGACACAUAUUGACGCUGAGGUGCGAAAGCGUGGGGAGCAAACAGG
rnacentral:rRNA from 1 species